rnacentral:rRNA from 1 species
UGGGGAAUUUUGGACAAUGGGCGAAAGCCUGAUCCAGCAAUGCCGCGUGUGCGAAGAAGGCCUUCGGGUUGUAAAGCACUUUUGUCCGGAAAGAAAUCCGCCUGGCUAAUACCCGGGCGGGAUGACGGUACCGGAAGAAUAAGCACCGGCUAACUACGUGCCAGCAGCCGCGGUAAUACGUAGGGUGCGAGCGUUAAUCGGAAUUACUGGGCGUAAAGCGUGCGCAGGCGGCUUUGUAAGACAGAUGUGAAAUCCCCGGGCUCAACCUGGGAACUGCAUUUGUGACUGCAAGGCUAGAGUGCGUCAGAGGGAGGUGGAAUUCCGCGUGUAGCAGUGAAAUGCGUAGAGAUGCGGAGGAGCACCGAUGGCGAAGGCAGCCUCCUGGGAUGACACUGACGCUCAUGCACGAAAGCGUGGGGAGCAAACA